rnacentral:sRNA from 1 species
UCCCUUUCGGUGGUUUACAAAGCGGGCGUAGGCUCCGUAGAGAGCUGUCGAAGCUCCCAAAUGAUUACAGGAUGAUGACAGUGAUUUUUGACUAAGAGACGUUCACGAGUUCUUCAAGAAUUACCUGGGCACGAAUACUGCCGCUUGCUCGCUGUUAGCCGAAGCUAGGGUGAAUAAUGGAAUAGGAUUGGAGGAUUAGGACCAUGGGGUUAGGCUACCUUGAAAGGUCCAAUUGCUAAGGAGGCACGAAAUGCGAAGGUUGAGAAAUCGGACUAGUGCAAUUAGGUACCCGACUUGUGGAAAGAAUUCAGCGCCACAACAUGGAUAUCUUUCCUUUCAGC